AUUUGAAACCAAAUGUAUUUCGCGAUGAGUGGAUUUGACAGCCUAAAUAAACAGCAGGAUUUCAAAAUCUUGACCCUUAAAUCCACCCUCCACCAUGUCUGAUCGCGAUUACUCCUUUCGUCUCCCGACUCCCCCCCACAAAUCAUCGACUUUCCUCUCCGCUAACCCUUGCAGCGCCCGUCACCGCCCAUCGCCGGGGCCUCGUCUUGAGCACCGACCUGUCAACGCCGGCCGCCCCUUGCCCCCCUACCCCUAGCGUACUCCUGUCUUCGCCCCUAGGGGCCCGUCGUCGGCGCCUUUCCCUGAACAUCGCAUGUUCGUUGCGAGCCUCUCUCUCUCUCAAAUUUUGACCUCUCAGGUGUAUUUGGGAGUUUCUUCAGCUCAAUCCUUGUCUCAAGGAGCAUACCUAUCACAAUGCGGGUAAUUGGAUGUUAUUGUUCUGAUUCGUUAUUUACCAUGUUUGCUAAAUUUGGUUGGUAAAUGAAUUUCAAUUAUUUACCCUGCAACUUUGGAUCUUUCUAUGCACAAUGCCACGUUGAUAGAAUAUAUAGUUUACCAUGAUUAA